UGCGCGGGCGGUGCUGUAAGACAGGCGUGAAAUCCCCGGGCUUAACCUGGGAAUGGCGCUUGUGACUGCAGUGCUGGAGUGUGGCAGAGGGGGAUGGAAUUCCGCGUGUAGCAGUGAAAUGCGUAGAUAUGCGGAGGAACACCGAUGGCGAAGGCAAUCCCCUGGGCCUGCACUGACGCUCAUGCACGAAAGCGUGGGUAGCGAACA
rnacentral:rRNA from 1 species